rnacentral:rRNA from 1 species
GACGGGGGGGGCAAGUGUUCUUCGGAAUUACUGGGCGUAAAGGGCUCGUAGGUGGCCAACUAAGUCAGACGUGAAAUCCCCAGGCUUAACCUGGGAACUGCGUCUGAUACUGGAUGGCUAGAGUUUGGGAGAGGGAUGCGGAAUUCCAGGUGUAGCGGUGAAAUGCGUAGAUAUCUGGAGGAACACCGGUGGCGAAGGCGGCAUCCUGGACCAACACUGACGCUGAGGAGCGAAAGCCAGGGGAGCAAACGGG